rnacentral:rRNA from 1 species
GAGUUUGAUCCUGGCUCAGAACGAACGCUGGCGGCAGGCCUAACACAUGCAAGUCGAGCGCGCCCUUCGGGGUGAGCGGCGGACGGGUGAGUAACGCGUGGGAAUAUGCCCAAAGGUAGGGAAUAGCCUCUGGAAACGGAGAGUAAUACCCUAUGUGCCCUUUCGGGGGGAAAGAUUUAUCGCCUUUGGAUUAGCCCGCGUUGGAUUAGGUAGUUGGUGGGGUAAUGGCUCACCAAGCCUACGAUCCAUAGCUGGUUUGAGAGGAUGAUCAGCCACACUGGGACUGAGACACGGCCCAGACUCCUACGGGAGGCAGCAGUGGGGAAUCUUAGACAAUGGGGGAAACCCUGAUCUAGCCAUGCCGCGUGAACGAUGAAGGCCUUAGGGUCGUAAAGUUCUUUCAGCGGGGACGAUAAUGACGGUACCCGCAGAAGAAGCCCCGGCUAACUCCGUGCCAGCAGCCGCGGUAAUAAGGGCGA